rnacentral:rRNA from 1 species
UACGGAGGGGACUAGCGUUGUUCGGAAUUACUGGGCGUAAAGCGCACGUAGGCGGAUUUGUUAGUCAGGGGUGAAAUCCCGAGGCUCAACCUCGGAACUGCCUUUGAUACUGCAAAUCUCGAGUCCGGAAGAGGUGAGUGGAAUUCCUAGUGUAGAGGUGAAAUUCGUAGAUAUUCGCAAGAACACCAGUGGCGAAGGCGGCUCACUGGCCCGAUACUGACGCUGAGGUGCGAAAGCGUGGGGAGCAAACAGG